rnacentral:rRNA from 1 species
CACGUAGGGCGCGAGCGUUGUCCGGAAUUAUUGGGCGUAAAGAGCUCGUAGGCGGCCUGUUGCGUCCGCUGUGAAAGCCCGGGGCUUAACCCCGGGUCGGCAGUGGAUACGGGCAGGCUAGAGGUAGGUAGGGGAGAAUGGAAUUCCCGGUGUAGCGGUGAAAUGCGCAGAUAUCAGGAGGAACACCGGUGGCGAAGGCGGAUCUCUGGGCCGAUACUGACGCUGAGGAGCGAAAGCGUGGGGAGCGAACAGG